UACGUAGGGGGCAAGCGUUGUCCGGAAUCAUUGGGCGUAAAGCGAGCGUAGGCGGCCCGAUAAGUCUGCUGUAAAAGUCAACGGCUCAACCGUUGAAAGCCGGUGGAUACUGUCGGGCUAGAGUUCGGAAGAGGCAAGUGGAAUUCCUGGUGUAGCGGUGGAAUGCGCAGAUAUCAGGAGGAACACCAUAGUAGAAGGCAGCUCGCUGGGACG
rnacentral:rRNA from 1 species